rnacentral:tRNA from 2 species
GUGCCCGUGGCUUAAUCGGAUAAAGCGACGGCCUCCGGAGCCGUAGAUUGGAGGUUCAAGUCCUCUCGGGCACACCA